rnacentral:lncRNA from 1 species
CAGGGACCAAUUUGCAACGCACGCAUUACAUGAGGGGGCCCAAAUGGAAAUAAUCCGUCUCCCUAAAACGCUGCACCGCAAUGGGAACCGAUUUGAAACAAGGUAAAACAUUUGGGCCAAAUUAAAAAAGAAAUAAUUGGCUUAAUAAAACAUGGCGCAAAGGGGGAGGACUUAUUUUGCAACUCUCCCAUUUAAGGUUGAUAUGCGCGGACUCCCAAACUAAAUAGCGUCGUCAUUGCUCUGUUUCAAGUUUUAAAAAAACAAAUUUAGGGAAAUAUUUUGCCUUUCCCCUUGAAGCAGAAAUUGCUUCUUUUAGGGUUUCCUUAACCCUUUGGCCGCCGUUCAGCCCACGCCCCGAUUCCGACGGAGAGGACACCGGCUCGACGACUCCGGCGAAAGGUAAGUCUCCCUUUUUCUUUCUUUUUCGUAUUUUAAAGAAAAGAAAUAAAAGAUAAUAAUGCAAUAAAAACGAAAUAAAAUGUAAGAACAAAACCCUCUUUCCCUUUUUUAUCAUUACAUGCACAGAAGGAAAAAAAAACUAAAACAUUUCUAAUAAUCACCUUAAAAACUGAUAUUUGCUCUGUUCUAUUCUUUUUUUCCGUGUCUUUACACUCAAUCCCCCCUCAAUACAGACUUAAAGCGUCUUUAUAUAGCCGAAAAUCAGAUGGAAAAAAUAAUCAAAAUCAAAUAUAUAUCUUUUCUGUUAUUCCUCCGUAUUUUCCUACUGUUUUUCUUGUUGCGUGGCUCGUGGUUUUCAUGACAGAUAUGCUGGAGAGAAGAUGUGUGCGAUGACUGUGCGUGGGAGCAGCAAUGUGGGAAGCGACGUGCUGCGAUGGAGGUGCGCGAGCAGCGCGAUCUGCGGAGCGCAAGGAGAAACUGCUAGGGUUUUCCAUUUUUGGGCUGAUUUGAGUCAGAAAAUGGGCUAGGGUUAAUUUUAUUGGGCCAUACGGGUUGUUGGGUUUUGUAUAUUUAUUUGGGCCCGGGCAUAUUUGAGCUUGUACAUUAAAAAUUGUAAAAAAUAUUGUAAAAAAUUAUUAAAUAUUUUUAAAAAUAUUUUUAAAUUUUAAAAAUUAUUAAAAAUUAUAAAACAUUAUUUAAACUUUG